rnacentral:tRNA from 1 species
CUCUCCGUGGCGGAAUCGGUAGACGCGCCAGACUCAAACCCUGGAGUUCGCGAGAACAUUGUCCGUUCGAAUCGGACUGGAGAGACCA